rnacentral:rRNA from 1 species
AGAGUUUGAUCCUGGCUCAGAACGUACGCUGGCGGCACGCCUAACACAUGCAAGUCGAACGAAGUAGCAAUACUUAGUGGCAGACGGGUGAGUAACAUGUGGGUAUCUUCCCUUUGGCCUGGAAUAACACGAGGAAACUUGUGCUAAUACCGGAUAAGUCUUUACGGAGAAAGCUUUAUGCACCAUUGGAUGAGCCCGCACUUGAUUAGUUUGUUGGUGGGGUAAUGGCCUACCAAGACUUUGAUCAAUAGCUGAUUUGAGAGGAUGAUCAGCCACAUUGGGACUGAGACACGGCCCAAACUCCUACGGGAGGCAGCAGUGGGGAAUCUUGCACAAUGGAGGAAACUCUGAUGCAGCGAUGCCGCGUGAGUGAAGAAGGCCUUUGGGUUGUAAAGCUCUUUCGUCGGGGAAGAAAAUGACUGUACCCGAAUAAGAAGGUCCGGCUAACUUCGUGCCAGCAGCCGCGGUAAUACGAAGGGACCUAGCGUAGUUCGGAAUUACUGGGCUUAAAGAGUUCGUAGGUGGUUGAAAAAGUUGGUGGUGAAAUCCCAGAGCUUAACUCUGGAACUGCCAUCAAAACUUUUCAGCUAGAGUUUGAUAGAGGAAAGCAGAAUUUCUAGUGUAGAGGUGAAAUUCGUAGAUAUUAGAAAGAAUACCAAUUGCGAAGGCAGCUUUCUGGAUCAUUACUGACACUGAGGAACGAAAGCAUGGGUAGCGAAGAGGAUUAGAUACCCUCGUAGUCCAUGCCGUAAACGAUGUGUGUUAGACGUUGGAAAUUUAUUUUCAGUGUCGCAGCGAAAGCGAUAAACACACCGCCUGGGGAGUACGACCGCAAGGUUAAAACUCAAAUGAAUUGACGGGGACCCGCACAAGUAGUGGAGCAUGUGGUUUAAUUCGAAGAUACGCGCAGAACCUUACCAACACUUGACAUGUUCGUCGCGACUUUAAGAGAUUAAAGUUUUCGGUUCGGCCGGACGAAACACAGGUGCUGCAUGGCUGUCGUCAGCUCGUGUCGUGAGAUGUUGGGUUAAGUCCCGCAACGAGCGCAACCCUCACUUUUAGUUGCCAUCAUUAAGUUGGGCACUCUGAAAGAACUGCCAGUGAUAAGCUGGAGGAAGGUGGGGAUGACGUCAAGUCCUCAUGGCCCUUACGUGUUGGGCUACACACGUGCUACAAUGGUAUCUACAACAGGAAGCAAGACGGCGACGUUAAGCAAAUCCUUAAAAGAUACCUCAGUUCGGAUUGUACUCUGCAACUCGAGUACAUGAAGCUGGAAUUACUAGUAAUCGUGGAUCAGCGUGCCACGGUGAAUGCGUUCCCGGGUCUUGUACACACCGCCCGU